rnacentral:rRNA from 1 species
UACGGAGGGUGCAAGCGUUAAUCGGAAUUACUGGGCGUAAAGCGUGCGUAGGCGGUUUGUUAAGUCUGUUGUGAAAGCCCCGGGCUCAACCUGGGAAUGGCAAUGGAUACUGGCAAGCUAGAGUGUGUCAGAGGAUGGCGGAAUUCCCGGUGUAGCGGUGAAAUGCGUAGAGAUGGGAAGGAACACCAGUGGCGAAGGCGGCCUCCUGGACUGACACUGACGCUGAGGUGCGAAAGCGUGGGGAGCAAACAGG